rnacentral:lncRNA from 1 species
AUGAGCUGUACCACUCACCGUGAAGAUCUGCAGCUUCACUUCAGAGCCUAGCGAGACCACAAGCUCACUGAGAGGAACAAACAACUCCAGACGCGCUGUCUUAAGAGCUAUAACACUCACCGCGAAGGUGUGCAGUUUCACUCCUGAGCUAGUGAGACUACGAAGCCACUGGAACGAAGAAACUCCAACCACGUUUGAACAUCAGAAGGGGCAGACUCCAGACGCUUCAUCUUAAGAGCUGUAACACUCACUGUGAAGGUCUGCAGCUUCACUCCUGAGCCAGCGAGACCACGAACCGAUCUGAACAUCAGAAGGGACAGACUCCAGAUGCCCCACCUUAAGAGCUGUAAUACUCACUGCAAGGGUCUGCAGCUUCAUUCUUGAAGUCAGACCAAGAACCCAGCAAUUCCCAACACACAGGGACCAGCUUCUUUCCUAACUCACUUAGGCUCUUCGUGCUGCUCUGGCAACUAACACCCUUGGCUGCAGGGGCUUGGACACUACCCUUAGUCACUGACAAUUGUGUGAAGGCUGCUGUCGUUAACUUCACUUGAUCACCUUAGGCUCCUGUGAAGUGGUGAGCAAUUCAAACAAAUUCCUGUCGUCAAAUCAGGCCUGAGGAACCAAGGAGAGCCCUUGACAGCGGGCAGGAAGAGGAGGAGAAAGAAGUGACUUUUAUUGAGCACCUACUGCAUUCCAAGCACUGCACAAGGCACUGUGUGUACAGAGACACAUAAGAUGCUGUCUCAGUCCUGAAUAGACAUCAGCUAGCAUGAAGAAAUCCCACAAAAACACAGUAUCAAGAAGGAAGAGGAGAAGGUGGAGCCAGAUAGAGAAGGAGGAAAAAUAAACAAACGGAAUUACAGCAAAACAAGGGUAGUGAGAAGGUACGUCAAAGACCAACUACCUGGUGGGGUAUUGGAAGAUUUUAACCACUGUCCAAAGAGGCCCUGACUAUUUCAGUCUCUGGUUCGCCUGCAGAUGCAUUAAGAAGAAAAGAAAGAGCACUUGGAGGAGGGUCCUUUGUGGAAGUCAUGGGGCAGGGUCCCCUGAGGCACCUUGAAAGUAAAGGAGAAACAGCUCUCAGGGACUCAGCUGCAAGUCAUUAGUAACUAAGCGGAACAGCUGUCUUCAGCAAAGCUUGACCUGGAUCCCAGAACUGAAACAGCGGGAGAAACAGAACUCUCACCUUCCUUAACCUGGAUCCCAGAAUUUAAACGGACUGCUUCCCCAACAGCAGGCGAUGGAGUCCCUGAGAUGCCUGCUAAAAAUACAGACCCCUGUUCACAAGGGCCAAGAGGUGGGAGCAACCCAGGUGUGUACGGAUGGAUAAAUGGAUAAGCAAAAUGUGGUCUAGCCAUGCAACGGAAUGUCCUGCAGCCUUGAACAGGAAGGAAAUCUUGACGCGCGCCGCAGCAUGGGGGAGCCGCAAUGAGGACGUUAUGCUAAGCCAGUCACAAGUGCAUGAUUCCACUCAGAGGAAGGACCCAGAGUCGUCAAAUUCAGAGACACAGAUACAGUUAUGGAUUCAUAACAGCAAGAUGGAGAAAUUGCACUGCAGAGAAAUCUUUAAAAGCAAUUACCUAAUACUGCAGAUUGCUGAACUGUACCCACACCCAAGACUGAGCAUUGGAUCAAUCCAGAAUAUACAUCAGGUGUUCUGCAAUGUCUGCCUAAAACCAUGACUCUGCCUCCUCCAGCUGUUGCUACAUCUCACUAUGGGUUUCCUGUGACAUUUUGAGCAAGUAUGCCUCUGUGACUGGGGUUCUUACACUCCAGAAUGGAUGAGAAGCACCGUAAGUGGCUUUUAAAAUGAAUAUUCCCUGGCCGACAACUUCCAAGUUUUUGUUAUUGAAAAUGUGGGGAGAGAACCACGCCUCCUGUGGAGCCGGCCGUGGAAACGCCCUGACAUGGAGUCAGAAGC